CCAGCAUGCUUGUGUGUGUGUGUGCGUUUGUGUGAGUGCCGCUAAUAACCCUGCAGAAGCAGGACACGAGCGCUGCCAAGGCGGUGAGGGGUCACGCCGCCAGGAAUGCGUGGUCUCCGAGGACCGCUGCGUCGCUCUCCGGCUCCCCCGGUGGAGAGCGGAUGUCAUGACGCUAGGCGUGAGCGCUUCUAAGGGCGUUUCCUGCGCUCACUUCCACCUGACCCUACCCCUGCACGCUCAUGCUGUCAUCCACCACUUCCUCAGUACUCCCUCCCAAGCCGCUCCCCCCGGCGCCGACAUCCACGCCCCAGACUGGUGGACUCCCUGCGACUUUCCCGAGAACCACCUUCCAUUAUCUUCACGACUGGUGCAACCCAGGAAGCUGCCACGGACGCCCGCCGCUGAGCUCACAGGGUUACGCUGGCCCUGUGCCCGACUGCCAUUUCUGAGAACGCUUGAUCGAAAUACACAGAAAUGUAAAACCCUUGCGUCGAGAAGAAAACAAAGAGCAAUUACACACAUGUUUUCGAUGAAAGUGUUCUUUCUUUUGGGUGCUCCUCACAUUGUCACAAUCUGACUUUGUAGCCACGCAUGAAACAAUAAAAAUGAGAACAUUUGUUGA